UAUAAACAUAUAAAGAUCGGGUCUUUUUAAUCACUUAAUUCAAUUCUAUCUCUGUCAAAAUACUAUUUGUUUAAUCUCACUGUCUCUGCCGAUGUUCAAACAUUAAGUGAAAUCUGAAGUGCCAUAUGAACAUAUCGACAGUGUUGUAUAACUCAUGGAUAUUACUCAAGGAGUUUUGCACAAUACUAAUUAUACAUAUUUCUACUUGGAUUUACAUAUUACUAGAAUAUAGGUUCCUUACAAGAUUUUAAAUUUAAUGCAGACGUACAGACGGAUUUGCAUGAGACAACACCUUUUGUCAAAGUAAUGCAUUAGUAUAAUGCAAUCGAUUAUACAGGAACAAAUCCAGUAGCCGGAACACUUACUGUAAUCACUGGGAACAAUAACUGUCAAGUUCUAGAAAAGUGCUGCAUGUCCUCCCUCUGGCAAAUAUUACCUGUACCCUGGUCACAUGCUACAAAUCGUAUAACCUGUUAUCGCAAUCUAUGAGCGAAAACUUUAAAACACUUUCAGGAAAAGUGGACACACGCAUAGUAUGUCCAGUAGCUGGAGGUCCGGAUGUUAAAUGUGGACAAGACGCACUUGAAUGUUGUUCCUACAUUGUAAUGUUCAGAUAUGUUAACAUGCUUUUACCAAAAAUCAGUUUUUAAAUACAACAUACAACUGUAUAGAACAAGACAAUAUUAGAAGUUAUUCAUAGCAAGCCCACUGAAUAAGACUCUUGAAUAAAUAGGUAUCUUGUAAGAUGGACAUUUACUUGCCAUCUUUCUUAGGAACUAAUAUACAAUUCUGAGAUAUAUUUAAAGACUAUGAUAUGUUUUAUAAAUUUGCACUUACCUAAGGUCAUGCCUGUUUAAAUUCCAUCCAAUCAUUUUAUUCCUGUUGCUAUGUACAUACAAGGAGGGUUCUCCACCCACCUUAUACAUAUACGUGUUGAAUGUAUUUGAACUGAUUAGUAUAACUGUUUAAUCAUAUUCGUAAUUAGAUAAACAUUAUUUAUUAAUAGUUGUCCUAUGAUAAUCAUUUUUAUUUUGAGCCACUUCGUUACUGCUUGAUUUUAUGUCUUUAAGUUGUAUUAUUGUGAAUAAACUGUCAUGGCUGCCGGACCGCCCGGUGGGCACUGUGAGUACCGCCCUACAGGUCCUUCUGUUCUGUCAGAGCGGUCCUCCGGUCCUCCGUUGAUACAUCGAUCCGACCUGUCAAUCAAACUAAUCAUUAUUGACCAAUGAGAAAGCUGCAAAUUAUUCACCGAGUCCCGUCCGCCAUCUUUACCCACAAACACAGCAGCGAUAACUGUUUACAACCGGACAUUUUAUUGAAGUUUUAAGACUGAUUUGUGAAAAUGGUUAAACGAUGCGGAUGGGGAAUAUGUUAUGCAGAUUAAGGUAUCCGGAGGGACUAAAUGGAGGCCGAUUUAAACGAUUUCCGACCUAUAAUCCGAUAUUGAGAAGGGCAAAUGCUGGAUUAAAGCCUGUGGACGGCCACAAGAGAAACUGAAUGUCAACAGGAUAAACAAGCACGAAGAUGUCUGCUCGAAGCACUUUCAUGGAGGAAAUGGACCAUCUAAAGUGUAUCCUGACCCACCAUCAGCUGAUGGCUGGAGAAUAACAUCUUCAAGAAAACUCCCCACAAAGCGGUCACUUGGAAAGGAAACUUAUGGCAGCAUUUAUACACAAAAUGCAAGUGUAUGCAUUUAAUACAAGAUAUCACAUGCCUAGAAAACUGGUCCAGGAUCCUGCAGACACUGUACCAGGAGAAGAAACACAGACCGAAUGUCCAUGGACGUCACCUUUGGAUGCUUGCACUUACCGCUCAAAAUGCUUCCCUAAAAGAACAGUUGUCACAAAAAGAAGUCCAAGUUGAAGAAUAACAGUCUGCACUUUCAUCAAAGUGUUGUGAAAUUCAGAUUUUAAAGCAACUGGUGGGAAUUUAAACAAACUGUAAAUGUCGAUAUAGUUCUGCUCAUAGAAGCAAUAGUUAAAAUUUGUUUAAAUAUUAUACAGGAAUCAUAUGAUUUUAUUUCUGCUUCUUUGAUAUAAUUGAAUAACUGUUAGUUUAUUCAUGUUUGUA